rnacentral:rRNA from 1 species
GACGAACGCUGGCGGCGUGCCUAAUACAUGCAAGUUGAGCGAUGAAGAUUGGUGCUUGCCCCAAUUUGAAGAGCAGCGAACGGGUGAGUAACGCGUGGGGAAUCUGCCUUUGAGCGGGGGACAACAUUUGGAAACGAAUGCUAAUACCGCAUAAUAACUUUAAACAUAAGUUUUAAGUUUGAAAGAUGCAAUUGCAUCACUCAAAGAUGAUCCCGCGUUGUAUUAGCUAGUUGGUGAGGUAAAGGCUCACCAAGGCGAUGAUACAUAGCCGACCUGAGAGGGUGAUCGGCCACAUUGGGACUGAGACACGGCCCAAACUACUACGGGAGGCAGCAGUAGGGAAUCUUCGGCAAUGGACGAAAGUCUGACCGAGCAACGCCGCGUGAGUGAAGAAGGGUUUCGGAUCGUAAAACUCUGUUGGUAGAGAAGAACGUUGGUGAGAGUGGAAAGCUCAUCAAGUGACGGUAACUACCCAGAAAGGGACGGCUAACUACGUG